ensembl:lncRNA
GCCUCUCUGUGUCUGUGUCAUAAGAUCAGGAAUAAAUAGUCUCUUCCUGCUACUUUUCGUGGAGAUUAAGGCAACAAAGGAGCUCAACAGGUGUGGGUUGUUAUCAUUAGAAGGACAAGGGACCACACCUGUCAAACUCGAGGCUCUGAUGCAACCCAGGAGAAACUGAACUUCUCCAGGGAGAAAGUUCACGGAAUGGAAAAACGUUUGGAGAAGAGUGAACACUCUCCCCUUUGCCGGAAGAGAGUCUGAGAAGCGGUCUCAGACCUCAUCUGCAGGGAGGCAGCUCAGGAAGGUGUUCCAUCCACCUCUGAGGUGCUGUGUUCAUCAGGAUAGGCUGGUGGUUGCAAUAAGCUGUCCCAGCACUGUGGGCUGUACUGACUGUACCAGACUGUGAAUGCCCCAAGGAAAAGGAAUGCUCUUUCUCAUCA